rnacentral:rRNA from 1 species
AUGUUUCAGUGCUCCGUGGGGCAUGUGGUCUGCUGGUCCUGCUGCGAAGGGCUCCCGGAAAAGAAGUGCGGCGUGUGCUCUGGCGAUGUCUUUGAGAGAUGCCACGCUAUGGAGAGCGUCCUGGACAGCGUCUUCGUCCCCUGCAAGCACGGAUGCGCCAAGGAGCUCGCCUACUACCAGCAGGUGGAGCACGAGAGGGAGUGCCCCGCCGGCCCGUGCUUCUUCCCUGUCCCUGGCUGCGGCUUCUCAAGGCCGACCGCCGCGCUCCAGGACCAUUUCACCAGCCUGCACAAGUGGCCGAUGAAGAGUUUCAAGUAUUUCGUGCCGUUCUUCCUCCGAGUAGUGCGUCCGGGAUCUCACGUCCUCAGCUGCGGAGACGGACUACUCUUCGUGCUCACGGUGGGGCCGCCGGUGGAGCCCCUCGGCCGCGCGGUGUCCCUCGUCUGCGUCCGGCCGAACGCGCUGGAGUCCCUGGUCGGAUGCUCUGUGUGCUUCUUGUGCUUCGCCGGCCAUUACCAGGUCUCGUCGCUGGAUGUAGAGACCUCGUCCCUGGCUGAUGGGCUGCCGGCACAGUGCUUCUGUGUCUUGCCCAAGGUUGCUGGUGACAAAACUGACGACGUCGUGCUUUGGAUCACCAUGGAUACAAUUUUCCCUAUUGACGAUGAUGAGCUGUACGAGGAUGAUGAUGAUGACGACGACAGGCGACAGCUAUCAGGACGAUGA